rnacentral:rRNA from 1 species
UACGAAGGGGGCUAGCGUUGCUCGGAAUCACUGGGCGUAAAGCGCACGUAGGCCGAUUGUUAAGUCAGGGGUGAAAUCCUGGAGCUCAACUCCAGAACUGCCCUUGAUACUGACGGUCUCGAGUCCGGGAGAGGUGAGUGGAACUGCGAGUGUAGAGGUGAAAUUCGUAGAUAUUCGCAAGAACACCAGUGGCGAAGGCGGCUCACUGGCCCGAGUACUGACGCUGAGGUGCGAAAGCGUGGGGAGCAACAGGG